rnacentral:rRNA from 1 species
ACUUAAAUUGAAGAGUUUGAUCAUGGCUCAGAUUGAACGCUGGCGGCAGGCCUAACACAUGCAAGUCGAGCGGUAGCACAGAGAGCUUGCUCUCGGGUGACGAGCGGCGGACGGGUGAGUAAUGUCUGG